UACGUAGGGUGCGAGCGUUAAUCGGAAUUACUGGGCGUAAAGCGUGCGUAGGCGGUCCGCGAAGUCUGAUGUGAAAGCCCCGGGCUCAACCUGGGAACUGCAUUGGAAACUAACGGGCUCGAGCGUGGCAGAGGGGGGUGGAAUUCCACGUGUAGCAGUGAAAUGCGUAGAGAUGUGGAGGAACACCGAUGGCGAAGGCAGCCCCCUGGGCUAACACUGACGCUCAGGCACGAAAGCGUGGGGAGCAAACGGG
rnacentral:rRNA from 1 species